GAUUUACUGUCAUAAUUUUUACAUUGUAAUAUUACAAUUCAUUGAGAACUAGAAUUUCUAAGUAAUUUUUUAAAUAAAUACACAAUUAAUUCAUGUAUAAAAUGAACUGUAUGGGAAUAGUAAAUGUUAUUAUAUAUUUUCUCAUAUUAUUUAACUGUUUUAAAGUCAUUGCACAUAAAUCUAAAAAUACUGAGUAAAUUUUAAUCUAAAAUCUUAGUACGUUCACAUCCGCGUGACCGAAUCACAUGCCCGCGUUUUGGAUCCGAGACAGACGGUUGCGAUUGCCUCACGUGCGAUUGGGAUUGUCACAAGUGGAUGCAAAGUUAAUGUGUACGCUUGACUGCAUUUAGGAAAUCUCUCAGACGCAUGGUUUUCAACCCUGGUGUGUCAUCAAGGAUAAACAAACCAAAACAUUGAGAUGAGGCGUGAAGCUGUUAUCCGGAGCCUCAUACUGUACCUUGGCGAGAAAGAAGAGGAACUGUUUGAAGAUUGCCAGGAGGACAACCACAGUGACACAGCGCAACACACCCUCAAGAUUCUGGUUGUACAUGGAGCUGAUGGAAAGGAUCCAGUGGAUGUAUCCAUUAUUCUUGAAGGCAAGGAGAUAUUGCCGGGAUGCCAAAAUACUGCUAAAGCUUGUGCCCUGCUUAUGGGACUCAUUUAUGCCCUCAACCUUGCAUACCCCAGAGCACUGCGUUACACUUUCGAGGUGUUUCAGAAACUUUUUCUAGAAUUAGAUGUUAUUAAGCUCUCUACAAAAGUACAAGCUUUUACGUCGAAGUUGUUUUA